rnacentral:rRNA from 1 species
GACGAACGCUGGCGGCGUGCUUAACACAUGCAAGUCGAACGGAGUGGCGAACGGGUGAGUAACACGUGGGUGACCUGCCCUGCACUUCGGGGUAAGCCUGGGAAACUGGGUCUAAUACCGGAUAGUGUGGGAUGGGCCCGCGGCCUAUCCGCUUGUUGGUGGGGUAAUGGCCUACCAAGGCGGCGACGGGUAGCCGGCCUGAGUGGGUGGACGGCCACAAGGGGCCUGAGCGACGUAGCAGUGUCGUACGGGGGGCAGCGGUGGGGAAUAUGACACAAUGAGCGGAAGCGUGUGGCAGCGACGCCGGGUGGGGAAUGGAGGCCUUGGGGUUGUGAACUCCUUUCCCCAUCGACGCGGUAGAUGGAGAAGAAGCACCGGCUAACUACGUGCCAGCAGCCGCGGUAAUUC